rnacentral:tRNA from 1 species
GGCUCGUUGGUCAAGAGGUUAAGACACCGCCCUUUCACGGCGGGAACAGGGGGUCAAUUCCCCUACGAGUCACCA